rnacentral:rRNA from 1 species
GAGAGGGAAACAGCCCAGAUCACCGUUUAAGGCCCCUAAAUAAUUACUAAGUGGCAAAGGAUGUAAUUGUACAUGGACAACCAGGAGGUUUGCCUAGAAGCAGCCAUCCUUUAAAAAUUGCGUAAUAGCUUACUGGUCAAGUCCUUUUGCGCCGAAAAUGAAUGGGACUAAGUAAUUUGCCGAAAACGUGAGAUAACAUCGGUAGAAGAGCGUUCUGUUUUAGUUUGAAGCAAUAGUGUAAACAGUUGUGGACUAAUCAGAAGUGAGAAUGUCGGCUUAAGUAACGAAAACAUUGGUGGAAAUCCAAUGCCCCGAAAACCUAAGGAUUCCUUCGCAAGGUUCGUCCACGAAGGGUUAGUCAGGGCCUAAAAUGAGGUUUAAAAACGUAAUUGAUGGAUAACGGGUUAAUAUUCCCGUACUGCAUUUUAUAUGGUUAGGAGUGACGGAGAAGGCUGUACCAUCCAAAUUUUGGUUUUUGGUUUAAUCUUUCAAGGUGUUGAGAAAUGCUAAAAAAAGUGUUUUGAGCUAAGAAGAGAAUACGAAAAAUACUACGGUAUUGAAAGUGGUGAAUGUCAUGCUUCCUAGAAAAACUUCUUUAAUUUCUGUAAUUUGUACCUGUACCUUAAACUGACACAGGUAGGUUGGUAGAGAAUACUAAGGGGCGCGAGAUAACUCUUUCUAAGGAACUCGGCAAAAUGGCUCUGUAACUUCGGGAGAAAGAGUGCCACAUCGAAAUAUGUGGUCGCAGUAAACAGGCCCAAGUGACUGUUUAUCAAAAACACAGGUCUCCGCUAAGUUGUAAAACUAUGUAUGGGGGCUGACGCCUGCCCAGUGCCGGAAGGUUAAAGAAAUUGGUUAGCUCACGCAAAGCUGGUGACUGAAGCCCUGGUGAACGGCGGCCGUAACUAUAACGGUCCUAAGGUAGCGAAAUUCCUUGUCGGGUAAGUUCCGACCCGCACGAAAGGCGUAACAAUUUGGGUACUGUCUCGGAAAGAGACUCGGUGAAAUAGAAUUGACUGUGAAGAUGCGGUCUACUUGCACUUGGACAGAAAGACCCUAUGAAGCUUUACUGUAACUUGAAACUGGUUUUGGGCUUUUAUUGCGCAGCAUAGGUGGGAGGCUUUGAUCCUCUUUUUCGGAAGUUGGUGAGCCGCAAUUUGAGAUACCACUCUAUAAAAGUUAAAAACCUAAUGACAUUUUUUUAACAAGAUGUUUGACACUUUCAGGCGGGCAGUUUUACUGGGGCGGUAGCCUCCUAAAAAGUAACGGAGGCGUACAAAGGUUUUCUCAGGCUGGACGGAAAUUAGUUGCAGAGUGUAAAGAUAUAAGAAAGCUUGACUGUGAGACCAACAAGUCGAACAGAGACUAAAGUCGGUCUUAGUGAUCCGACGGUGCUGUGUGGAAAGGCCGUCGCUCAACGGAUAAAAGUUACUCUAGGGAUAACAGGCUGAUCUCCCCCAAGAGUUCACAUCGACGGGGAGGUUUGGCACCUCGAUGUCGGCUCAUCGCAACCUGGGGCGGAAGUACGUUCCAAGGGUUGGGCUGUUCGCCCAUUAAAGCGGUACGUGAGCUGGGUUCAGAACGUCGAGAGACAGUUCGGUCCAUAUCCGGUGUGAGUGUUAGAGUAUUGAAAGGAGCUUUCCUUAGUACGAGAGGACCGGGAAGGACGCACCACUGAUGUACCAGUUUUUGUACCAACAGAAUACGCUGGGUAGUCAAGUGCGGAGUGGAUAA